UACGUAGGGUGCGAGCGUUGUCCGGAAUUAUUGGGCGUAAGGAGCUCGUAGGCGGCUUGUCACGUCGGGUGUGAAAGCCCGGGGCUUAACCCCGGGUCUGCAUUCGAUACGGGCUAGCUAGAGUGUGGUAGGGGAGAUCGGAAUUCCUGGUGUAGCGGUGAAAUGCGCAGAUAUCAGGAGGAACACCGGUGGCGAAGGCGGAUCUCUGGGCCAUUACUGACGCUGAGGAGCGAAAGCGUGGGGAGCGAACAGG
rnacentral:rRNA from 1 species